rnacentral:tRNA from 1 species
GUCUUAGCUCAGUGGUAGAGCACUUCCUUGGUAAGGAAGAGGUCGUGAGUUCAAGUCUCAUAG